UUAUGACAAGUUGCACAACCUGAAGGCAAAACACUUCUCAUGUUAAAAGACAUGUGAACACUCAUUAACGCUUCCCAAUCCCAUCUUCUGGUUUAUUAACCACUUAGAACGUGUAAUAAAAAAAUAAAACACCAUCCCAGAGCAACCUGGGGAAUCCUCUCAUCACCCUGCCCAAAUCCUUUGGAAGUUACUCAACACCAUCACAUACAAACCUGCAUUUCACCUCACAGGAACCCCUCAAGGCUUCACAAUUACACUUGACCUUAAAACCUAGUAUUUAAUGUUGUUUAAUGAAAAUCCAGUAGGAAAGCUGGAAAUUUAGGACUAGAGGGAAUGUUAACCUGCUCAUCAUCAGACAGGACAACACAGUGUACAGAAAAUUCUGCAAGUAUUAAUCCUGUUAAUACAAACUCAAACCAGCUCCUUUGCUGUCCCCAAAUCAACCUGUCAACUCCCAGAGGCUGUUUAUACUCAAUAAUCCAUUGAUUUUUUUCACUGAUCAUCCACAAUCUUCCCAUAAGUCCCCUAGAAAAGCGAGCAGGUGGAAGACACAGUUGUGGGGGAGACAGAACAAGUGGCCUUAGGAUACCACAGAAAGGAAUAAUUUAAAGGCCACAGUAAAAUAAUUUGAAGCCUAAAUUAUCAGCUAUUUACUGUUUCAGAGACCAAAUAGAUGAAUAUGAUUCUUAAUCAAGUGACAAAAGCAGACACAGCCCUUUCACAGUGAGGGCUCCCAUUUAAACCUGCAGUUCCUCAGCAUUUUCCCUCCCCCAUUCAACCCAGGUGUGAUUUACAUAAUAAAGAGGAUGUGACAUCAUCCACAGCUGGGAACUGCUACAUUCCGUAAUUAAACUAAUGAGUCUGAUGUCUAGAACCAGGCUGCACAAGGUGAUUGUGUCAGUGCUUUCAAAACCUGACCUGCAGUGUUCUAAACCUGCACCAGAAGCAGGCCACUCAUCACCCAACAGGGUAAACCCCAAGGAGUUUAAACACAGGACCACCAUCAAAAGCCCAGCGUUUACUACACUGCAAAUAUAAAAUCAUCACCACAGAAACGAGGCUUUUGGGCAAAGGAGUCACAAUUAGUGUUAAAGCUUGAGAUCUUUCGUGAGCAAAGACGUUUUAAUGUGUCACAUUUCAAAAGCAUCGACCUUCCUUUUACACGGAAAGAGCAAACCCCUCAUGGCUUUGGAGCCAGAGAGGUGCACGAGGCCCUCUGCAAGUUAAAAGUGCAUAAAACACACACAUCAUCCUUCAUACAUGAAAUAUUCUGCAGCAGGGUGGAGGACACAGUAAGUGUUAAAACAAUAUUUAAAAGUACCUGAAAAGAAUCUCCCCCGGAAAAGAGAGAGAUGGACGGAACAUCCUCCCGGACAGUUGUGCGAGUUCCCAACAACAGCUUUUCUGUACCAGUGGUUUUAAAAAAAAACAAACAAUAAAUUCACACAGCGAGUUCUGGAAUAUUUAAAACAGUUUUUUGAUACAACAGUUGCCUCAAAUCCGUGCUGUUUUGUCACAGACAGUUAUCAUGGCCUGAGCCCUGUGUGUUGGUGCUCAGGAACAUCCACGGACCAUCAUCUGUCUCGAGAGACCCAACUUUAGCCUUGUACUGAAGCCCAAACAGGUGAAUGAAUAAAUUCAGCAGCUUUUUCAGCACUUCCCUCCCAUCUAACUUGGCUCCCUCAAAUUCCAGAUAUCGAGCAGCUGAUUUAUCCAAGGUCAUGUAUAAAGAGCCCAGUCAAAAGCUGCAUCAGAUGUGGGAAGACUGGUUGGGUCUAAACGGUUGGAUAAUGUGUUGAGCAGCUUUGAAGGCAGAGAUUUCCAGCACUGAAAAAUACUGACAUUAAAAAACUACAUCUGUUUUUUGUCAUUCAACACAGGAUAAUGCAAAACUGCUUAUUUAGUCAGUGAUGGGGGAAACUUGAGAGACAAACCAAGUCAUCUCGUGUCCCUUGAGAGAUUAAAAAUGGUGGUUUAAAACUCAGCUCUCCCUAGCCU